UAUACCCAUUUUUGUAGAUAAUGAAAACGAUAGCUCGGUGAAUAAAAGCUCUUGCCCUUGUAGAUGAGGUUUGGACGUUCGAGAUCGAUGCUGCCUCUCAAUCCUCAUCGUGAUAGCUCGUACCGUUCCUCUUCUUGUUUUUGUUUUUGUUUUUGUUUUUUCCCCUCAACGUUCGAAAAUUGAAAAUGUAUUUCGGAAAGCCCGUUUUCUCAAACAUGCUAAUUUAAUAAUUUCAGUCAAUAUAUGCUUCCCAUAUUAUAUUAUAUUAUAUUAUAGACAAACAAUUAUAAUUAUUUUGGGAUUUAGAGAUAUAUUCACGUUCAAUGCUAUAAAUAAUUACCAUAUCAAUUCAUUAUGGGAAAUGCUUCAAUUACAUAUAGGCACUAAUAAAUCAAAAGGUUAUUUAGAGUUGCAUUGCAAUAUGCUGUUCUGAAUUAUCUCUGUAUGAGGCAUCUUCCCUUCAAUAAAUGCCAGAUGAUUCAUGUUAGACAGACCUCUCUAUCCUAGUCCUAACAAGCAGAGGGGUGGCACGUGUCUGUAUUGCUGAGGAUGAAGAUGAACCAGCGUUUUUUAUGGUUAAAAAGCAGAUAGCUAUAUCCUUUUGAGCCAUGGAAUAACUGGUGCAAAUGUGGCACACAUGAUGAUGGGUGAUGGAAAGUAGAGAUAAGAUCCUAUCCCUAAAGCAUGGCUCUGGAGCCUUUGGUGAUCCGAACUUGCUAGAGACCGGCCCCUUGCAUCCCUUGUAAUGUCACUGACAUGAGGAUCGAGAGUUCUUGCAGGAUAUAAACAUACAAAUUCGUUCCCAUUGCUGACUUGUAGUUGCUAGACAUGAAUGAGAGCUUCAACCAAGAAGUGGAAACUCGCAAAAUCUUCUUUCUCCUCGAUGAACAUUCCAAUUCCCAGGCAAUUCGUGCGCUGGUCUUCUUGUUCAAUAUUUUGGUACUGUUCGUCAAUCAUUAUGAUGGCAAGAUUGUGGAAUAUUCUCGAGCUAAGACCAUACUUAACCAUUCUUUUUGCAGCGAUAAUUAGCUGGUCGAAACAUUUUCUCUAGAACACAGACAUUGUGACUCUCCAAGCUAGUGAAGCUCUUGAAGGAGAAAUUAAGAACAUGGGACAUGGAAGGUUAUAUAGUUUCUUGCAAUUUUAGAUUUUCA